GACGAACGCUGGCGGCGUGCUUAACACAUGCAAGUCGAACGGAAAGGCCCUGCUUUUGUGGGGUGCUCGAGUGGCGAACGGGUGAGUAACACGUGAGUAACCUGCCCUUGACUUUGGGAUAACUUCAGGAAACUGGGGCUAAUACCGGAUAGGAGCUCCUGCUGCAUGGUGGGGGUUGGAAAGUUUCGGCGGUUGGGGAUGGACUCGCGGCUUAUCAGCUUGUUGGUGGGGUAGUGGCUUACCAAGACUUUGACGGGUAGCCGGCCUGAGAGGGUGACCGGCCACAUUGGGACUGAGAUACGGCCCAGACUCCUACGGGAGGCAGCAGUGGGGAAUAGUGCACAAUGGGCGGAAGCAUGAUGCAGCAACGCCGCGUGCGGGAUGACGGCCUUCGGGUUGUAAACCGAUUUCGCCUGUGACGAAGCGUGAGUGACGGUAAUGGGUAAAGAAGCACCGGCUAACUACGUG
rnacentral:rRNA from 1 species